UACCAUCUUCCCGACCUCCGGGCCAAUUAUUUACCUUCGAACAAUUGAAGAAAUUGCACUACUUGCAUGCUGCAUUACACGAAUCCCUCCGCCUUUUCCCGCCUGUACCAUGGGAUUCAAAGCAUGCGGUCCGAGACGACGUCUUACCUGAUGGCACCGUCAUACUCAAAGGUGAGCGCGUCACUUUCAAUAUUUACGCCAUGGCUCGAAUGGAAGCCAACUGGGGCCCUGACUGCAAUGAGUUCAAGCCUGAGAGAUGGUUGAAGGAUGGAGUCUUUGUACCUGAGAGUCCUUUCAAGUUUGCAACCUUCCAGGCUGGUCCUCGCAUAUGCCUCGGCAAGGAAAUGGCCCUUAUCCAAAUGAAGCUGGUUGCGUCGAGUUUGGUAUACUGCUUCAAGUUUACUCUGCUCGAGGAUCCUCCUAGAACAUGU
rnacentral:lncRNA from 1 species